UACGGAGGAUCCGAGCGUUAUCCGGAUUUAUUGGGUUUAAAGGGUGCGUAGGCGGGAGAUUAAGUCGGUGGUGAAAUUUUGCAGCUCAACUGUAAAAGUGCCAUUGAUACUGGUUUCCUUGAGUGUGGAUGAAGUAGGCGGAAUUUGUGGUGUAGCGGUGAAAUGCAUAGAUAUCACGAGGAACUCCGAUUGCGCAGGCAGCUUACUAAACCAUAACUGACGCUCAGGCACGAAGGCGUGGGGAUCAAACAGGAUUAGAUACCCCCGUA
rnacentral:rRNA from 1 species